rnacentral:other from 2 species
CUUAACCCGACAGCGAGUAAUUUGUGAACCAAUACUCACAUUCAGGGGAGCGUUCUGUAGCCGGCGUUGUGCAAGCCCACCGACGAGUGGGAAGCCUGAACCGAUACCCUGCCCCCCACCUGAACCCCAGGGUUCAAAAUCGAGACUGUCGGGCUUCCU